GCUUAACACAUGCAAGUCGAGGGGGCCCAGCAAUGGGCAACCGGCGAACGGGUGCGUAACACGUGAGCAACCUACCGAACUGUGGGGGAUAGCCGGCCUAACGGCCGAGUAAUACCGCAUACGCUUUCAGUGAGGCAUUUCAUUGAAAGGAAACCUACGGGACAGAUCGAGGGGCUCGCGGCCUAUCAGCUAGUUGGCGAGGUAACGGCUCACCAAGGCGACGACGGGUAGCUGGUCUGAGAGGAUGGCCAGCCACAUUGGGACUGAGAUACGGCCCAGACUCCUACGGGAGGCAGCAGUGGGGAAUCUUGCGCAAUGGCCUAACGGCUGAUGCAGCGACGCCGCGUGUGGGAUGAAGCUCUUCGGAGUGUAAACCACUGUUGCCCGGGACGAACAGCUCGAUUUCUCGAGCCUGACGGUACCGGGUGAGGAAGCACCGGCUAACUCCGUGCCAGCCGCCGCGGUAAUAC
rnacentral:rRNA from 1 species